GCAAAAUUUCGCCUCCUACAGCGUAACUACGUUACCCAAGUGAGGGGCCAGUAUAAUUGUGUUAGAUGAACUUAUGGAAGAUGUAAAAUGCAAACUCCAGUUGAGAAUGCAUGGAAAAGCAAUUUAGAUAUUAUUGGAUCAUAUUUUUGACUUAUAUAAAUUGAGAAUUUGUUGUCAGAAUUUGAAUAGUUUGAAAAAUUUUAUAACUCACUUCACCUUAACGCGCAGGGCUUCAACUCUUUCUUCCGGCAUCUGUCUGUUGCGACACUCAGACCGUGCCCCACAUAACCAAACAAAAUGCCACGUGAAAUCAAGGAAAUCAAGGACUUUCUUCUAAAAGCCAGAAGAAAGGAUGCCAAGUCUGUUAAAAUAAAGAAGAAUGCCGAGAAUGUGAAGUUCAAAGUACGUUGCUCUCGAUUUCUCUAUACUCUUGUUAUCACCGACAAAGAAAAGGCAGAGAAACUUAAGCAGUCGUUACCGCCAGGUCUUCAAGUCAAAGAAGUGAAGUAACAUGCGAUACACGUGUCACGUGAAAUAAAAAAUUCUGUAUAAAACUCAUUCAGUUUGUUUCCACCAUUAUUAAAAUCUCCUUCUUUACCUGCUCCUUGACUAUUUCAAUCCCCAAAGCUACACAAAUUUAGUUAUUUUAGUCGAUCUGCGACAGUUAACUACAUACUAUUGGUUCUA
rnacentral:misc_RNA from 1 species